GAGUAAUUCUAUCAAGUAGAUAGAGUAUAGAUAACUUUAUCUAGUAGAUAACGAGUAACUAGUUCUCUAAUAACUAGAGAACUAGUAAGCCCAGAGAGGUGGUGGGAGCACCACUAUUGGAGAUAUUCAAGGUGUCCCUCUUCACUGGGGAGGAGUUGCAUUAGAUCACCUUUAAAGGUCCCUUUCAACUCAGAAGAUUCUAUGAAGCCUCGUCCUUCAGUUGUUUGUGGAGGAUCUAUGCUUCAGUAAAGUCCCUUUGCUGAGCUGUGCUUGGUUUUGUACCUUACCUUCUGCUUGCCUUGCUGACUUGACUCCAGACCUGCCUGUUAUCUUGGUGAACUGUCAGAGAUCGGUAAAAGCACCCCGUUACAAAAGAAGACCUUCAGUCUGUGCAGGCUCAAAAGUGUCAAACAAUGGAAUAGUAACUACUCUGGCUCUCAAGUAUUAAUAUCUCCAAGAUCAAGCACUUCCAUUUGGACUGUUUUGUAAUAUCAGUGUCCAUUGAGCUACACUGCAUUCAAGUACGUGAGUUCCGUUGUUGCUUUUUGUCUUUGC
ensembl:lncRNA